UACGGAAGGUCCGGGCGUUAUCCGGAUUUAUUGGGUUUAAGGGGAGCGCAGGCGGGAUGUCAAGUCAGCCGUCAAAUCACGGGGCCCAACCCCGCGUCGCGGUUGAAACUGGCGUCCUUGGGUACACAAGGGGCAGGCGGAACUCGUGGUGUAGCGGUGAAAUGCAUAGAUAUCCCGAGGAACUCCGAUCGCGAAGGCAGUCUGCCGGGGUGCAACCGACGCUCAUGCUCGAAGGCGCGGGUAUCAAACAGG
rnacentral:rRNA from 1 species